GGCCGAUCUCAGAAAUCGAAGAGGCACCUACUUUUCCAGCCUUGUUAGCAUCUGUCACACGCACACUCAGCUUUGCGGAAAUUAUGGGCAUUCUGUCGAAGACUUCUGGGGAAGUAGAAAACACAUGAAUCUUACUGUCCAAUCACCCACUUCCCACACGCAGCAAUAGCUCAUGGGUACCACAGAUAACUUUGCCAAAGUCCUCUGCCAAAGUUGAGCACAUGAAGCUUGCAGCUCCCACUACAUCGCUCUGACCAAGAAGGGUAAAAGAAUAGCAAAGAAACAGCACUAACAAAGUUUAGACCCAUAAAUUUUGAAGGUCUAGCUACCAUAUUAUUACCCACAAGGGUAAAGGAACAAUACCACUGUUGGAUAAUUGGAAAGUCCCUGUGUGUCAACCUCUGUGCCUCGUGGCAAGGUAGACUAGCAAACAUGCCCAACCUUUACUCACAUUCGAGAAAACACUCCCAAUAAGAUUGCUUGCUCCAAAAUCGAAGAGGCACCGUCCUCCGAAUCUCGAGAGCCAGACUCCCAACAUGACUACUUUCUCAAAAAUCGAAGAGAGGGUAAAGGAACAGUACCAUUGCUGGAUAAUUGGAAAGUCCCUGUGUGUCAACCUCUGUGCUUCGUGGCAAGGUAGACUAGCAAACAUGCCCAACCUUUACUCACAUUCGAGAAAACACUCCCAACAAGAUUGCUUGCUCCAAAAUCGAAGAGGCACCGCCCUCCGAAUCUCGAGAGCCAGACUCCCAACAUGAUUACUUUCUCAAAAAUCGAAGAGACACUGCUCCCACGAAUCUCGAGAGCCAGACCCCCAGCAUGAUUGCUUUCUCAAAAAUCGAAGAGGCAUCGUUCUCCGAAUCAAUCGAAGAGGCGCUCGCUUUCUCUUAAAAGCUGGGCUGCUCAGAGACCACGAGGGCCGAUCUCAGAAAUCGAAGAGGCACCUUCUUUUCUAGCCUUGUCAGCACCUGUCACACGCACACUCAGCUUUGCGGAAAUUAUGGGCAUUCUGUCGAAGACUUCUGGUGAAGUAGAAAGCACAUGAAUCUUACUGUUCAAUCACCCACUUCCCACACGCAACAAUAGCUCAUGGGUACCACAGAUAACUUUGUCAAAGUCUCUGCCAAAGUUGAGCACGUGAAGCUUGCAGCUCCCACAACAUCGCUCUGACCAAGAAAGGUAAAAGAAUAGCAAAGAAACAGCACUAACAAAGUUUAGACACAUAAAUUUUGAAGGUCUAGCUACCAUAUUAUUACCCACAAGGGUAAAGGAACAGUACCACUGCUGGAUAAUUGGAAAGUCCCUGUGUGUCAACCUCCGUGCUUCGUGG
rnacentral:lncRNA from 1 species